rnacentral:rRNA from 1 species
CAAGCGUGGAGCAUGUGGUUAAUUCGAUGCAACGCGAAGAACUUACCUGGGCUUGACAUCUGCAGAAUCUUUCAGAGAUGAGGAGUGCCUUUCGGGAACUGCAAGACAGGUGCUGCAUGGCUGUCGUCAGCUCGUGUCGUGAGAUGUUGGGUUAAGUCCCGCAACGAGCGCAACCCUUGCCAUUAGUUGCUACGAAAGGGCACUCUAAUGGGACUGCCGGUGACAAACCGGAGGAAGGUGGGGAUGACGUCAAGUCCUCAUGGCCCUUAUAGGUGGGGCUACACACGUCAUACAAUGGCCGGUACAGAGGGUAGCCAACCCGCGAGGGGGAGCCAAUCCCACAAAGCCGGUCGUAGUCCGGAUCGCAGUCUGCAACUCGACUGCGUGAAGUCGGAAUCGCUAGUAAUCGCGGAUCAGCAUGUCGCGGUGAAUACGUUCCCGGGUCUU